UCGUAACAAGGUUUCCGUAGGUGAACCUGCGGAAGGAUCAUUAAUUAUGUUAAAGCGCCUUACCUUAGGGUUUCCUCUGGGGUAAGUGAUUGCUUCUACACUGUGAAAAUUUGGCUGAGAGACUCAGACUGGUCAUGGGUAGACCUAUCUGGGGUUUGAUCGAUGCCACUCCUGGUUUCAGGAGUACCCUUCAUAAUAAACCUAGAAAUUCAGUAUUAUAAAGUUUAAUAAAAAACAACUUUUAACAAUGGAUCUCUUGGUUCUCGCAUCGAUGAAGAACGUAGCAAAGUGCGAUAACUAGUGUGAAUUGCAUAUUCAGUGAAUCAUCGAGUCUUUGAACGCAGCUUGCACUCUAUGGUUUUUCUAUAGAGUACGCCUGCUUCAGUAUCAUCACAAACCCACACAUAACAUUUGUUUAUGUGGUGAUGGGUCGCAUCGCUGUUUUAUUACAGUGAGCACCUAAAAUGUGUGUGAUUUUCUGUCUGGCUUGCUAGGCAGGAAUAUUACGCUGGUCUCAGGAUCUUUUUUUUUGGUUCGCCCAGGAAGUAAAGUACAAGAGUAUAAUCCAGUAACUUUCAAACUAUGAUCUGAAGUCAGGUGGGAUUACCCGCUGAACUUAAGCAUAUCAAUAA
rnacentral:misc_RNA from 1 species